AAAGUGCCGUAGAAUAGGGUUACUUCGCUGAUAACGAUGGGGUUACGGGUUCGAGUCCCGUCACGCU
rnacentral:tRNA from 1 species